GGGGGUGGGUGGGGCCACGGCUCCUGUCGCGCGCUUUCCCUCAGUGGCCGCCGGUGAUGAGGGAGCGUGAGGCGGGGGGAGGGAGCCGAUCCGAGCCGAUACGAUAUGAUCCGAGCCGAGCCGAGCCCUCCUCUGACGGCGACACCCCGAGGGUCGGUGUUGGCGCCGCUCCCUCAGCCGCGCUGAAGCGACCGCGGAGCGAACCGGCGGGAUCCUGAGCCCGGGCACGACCUGCCGUUUUUCUCUGUCGCUCGCCUGUGAUGAGUGCCUAUGAACCCGGGAACUUAUUGCAGCUUCUGACUCGUUGUGUCGGAACUCACGAAAAAUGCCUUUGUGGGAGCUCCCCGUUGCGGGGCCGUGAGGCGGGAAGCGGCUGAUGGCGGGGCGGGCCGGAGCCUUCCCCCCUGACAGGCGGCGGGUCCCCGGCCGCCACACGGGCCCUGCCGGGGGACGGGCAUCUCCUUCCUGUCCCUUCUGGAGACCAAGUGCGACAAUUGAACGGCAGCAGUCAGAUUUUAAAUAGUUAAUGUUUCAAUCCGUGGAAUGCAAUUCAGAAGUCCCACAGGACUCAAUGCAAAGUUGGGGUUUUGCCUCCUGUGGGGACUGAGGAGAGGUAUUACACAAAUCACGUUGCUGAUUUUUCUAAGCCUGCUGUUAGGAGUGGCCACGUACCGUUCACCUUCAGAGAGUGGCUUGUUGAGAACGCCACCGAUGGGCUGA
rnacentral:lncRNA from 1 species